CUUGAAAUGAGUUGGUUUUCCAAUGUAUCAGUCAAGUCAGAAGCACUUCCAGACAAUGCCGCAUUUAGUAGAACGACAGCUUUUUCUUCAUCAGCCUUGGAAGUUUCACCAGAUUCCAAUAAGUUCAGACUAUCUACUAAUUCACCUCGGUUCUGCAAACCAACUGCAAUACGGUGUUUCAGCCAUUGCUUGUCCUUAACUGAUGUUUCACAUCCAAAUAUUCUGCUGAAGACUUGACAAAG
rnacentral:misc_RNA from 1 species